UUGAAGGCAAAAGUCCACUCUAAAGUGAAGGUUUCCUCUGGACCAGUCUUUGCCGCUGCUGUGUUUGUUCCCAGCCUCACUCCGAGUCAAGGAAGCACCUGAAUCCACAAGAGGCUAAUGCACUUCUUAGAUACUUUUUUGGGGGAGACAAGUUUCCUGUCUUUUGUCCUUGAUUUAUUAUUGCUUUUAUUUGUUCUCCUCCAUUUAGUUCAUUUUAUUCUGAUUUUAAAAGAACAGCUCGCAGGCCCUCCUAUUUUCAUGGAAAUUGCUCAGCAAUAACAAUUUCAGAUAGCUCGCAGAAGAAUAGUCAUCAUGCCAGGGCCAGUUCACCCAAGAUGCUUUGCAGGCAUUUCACAUAACAAUUUACUAAUUAAUGGCAAAUUAAAUGGAAUUUAGUAAGAAGAAUCAGAGGUUAGAGUGCCGGUAUAUAUUAUGUAUAAAAAAGGUAUGCAAAUAUCUUCAGCCCAUUUGUGGUUCAUAAGUGGGAAAUAAUAGCUUUUCUGCUCAGAACCCUCACAGACAGGAGGGCUGUUGCAUCGAGGCAGAACUUCAAAUUACAUAUAAUUCUAAUUUUUUAACAGUUUCGUUGAUUAUACAUUGUGCCUCCAUUUUCCAGAUACAAUGAACUUAGUCUUCCUUGUUUUAAUAGUUUAGAGUUAUGGAAAGUCACCUAUACUUUGCUGCUUAUAUUAACUGCAUAUUGAAGGCUAGAAGUCAUGUUUGGGAAAGUUUUUACUAUUGACCUAGUUAGCUUUGAUUGUCGACUUGGCACAACCUAGGAGCCUCAGAUAGGAUUAGCUUAUGGGAGGUCUGUGGGGAGUUUUCUUGAUUGUUAAUUGAUUUAGGAGGGGCAAGCUCACUUUGGGCAGCACUUUUACCUGGGCUGGUGGCCUUGUGCUGGGUAAGAAGUCUAGCUAAGCAUGAGCUUUCGAGCCAGCAACCAGGUUUUCCAAUGGUCUCUACUUCAUGUUCCUGUUUGAGCUCCUGUCCUGACUUCCCUCAGUGAUGGACUAUGACCUAGAAAUAUAAACUCAAUGAAUCCUUUCUUCUCCUAAGUUACUUUUAGUCAGAGUGUUUUACCACAGUGACAUAAUAAAACCAGAACGAUCACUGAUUCCAAUCUCCUACAGUAGAUCCAGUACAUACUGGAAAACUACAGGCUUUCUGCUUUUGUAAAUAAAGCUUUAUUGGAAUAC
rnacentral:lncRNA from 1 species